CCCCAGAACUAGUUCGAAGACAGAGCGCGGUAGAAAUUGAAGGAGAUCGGUUAAUUUCAGACACUUGGCUAAUAAACCCGUAAUUCUUUUGAAGACUAUUGCACGACUUCGACCUUUUUCUUUUGUCGAUUGGAGUUGUGUGAAAGAGCAGUGGUUCAAUUCAAUUAACAGGAUAGGUCUUCCUCCCUCGGAUUCAGUUUUUAGAGUAGAGCGGAACAGUUUUUUCGGAGAAGACGACGCGAUCAUUCGUCCGUCCUUCGCUAAGUUUACUUCAGCGGUAGACGGGGGUUCGUCACAUUUCCUUUCAAGUGAUCAUGGACAGGUUACAUAUAUUGAUGCUUGUCGUCAUGGUAACACUACUCGGUUUCUUUACAUCGUCUGAUGCUGGGCGUGGAGAUGGAUGCAGAUACUACAGUAAGAUGUGUAAGUACCAAGGCACACGCUAUGAACGCUGGGAUACAUGGUCAACCAAAAAUUGCUACGACUGUACGUGCCUUGGGAAAGGCUACGGGUACAAAUGCUGUCAAGAUUACUGGCUACCGAUGAUCUUCGAUGAAGACCAAUGCGAGGCUGUUUGGGAUAAGAAGACGUGUUCGUACUCAGUCCAACCCAGGAACCCAACAGACACAAAGCCCUGUGAAAUAUUCGCCGGGAUCCUGAAAUAGAUAUAGCGCCAUCUAUAGACAACUACUUUAUUGUAUUUCUUAUUUCUUACAAAGCAGUAUUCAAUAUUAUUAUCUAU